rnacentral:rRNA from 1 species
GGGGAAUAUUGCACAAUGGGCGCAAGCCUGAUGCAGCCAUGCCGCGUGUGUGAAGAAGGCCUUUUGGUUGUAAAGCACUUUAAGCGAGGAGGAGGCUACUCUAGUUAAUACCUAGGGAUAGUGGACGUUACUCGCAGAAUAAGCACCGGCUAACUCUGUGCCAGCAGCCGCGGUAAUACAGAGGGUGCGAGCGUUAAUCGGAUUUACUGGGCGUAAAGCGUGCGUAGGCGGCUUUUUAAGUCGGAGGUGAAAUCCCUGAGCUUAACUUAGGAAUUGCAUUCGAUACUGGGAAGCUAGAGUAUGGGAGAGGAUGGUAGAAUUCCAGGUGUAGCGGUGAAAUGCGUAGAGAUCUGGAGGAAUACCGAUGGCGAAGGCAGCCAUCUGGCCUAAUACUGACGCUGAGGUACGAAAGCAUGGGGAGCAAAC